CCCUUUUCAUGAUGCCCCUUUUA
rnacentral:siRNA from 1 species